rnacentral:rRNA from 1 species
AAAUUGAAGAGUUUGAUCAUGGCUCAGAUUGAACGCUGGCGGCAGGCCUAACACAUGCAAGUCGAGCGGUAGCACAGAGAGCUUGCUCUCGGGUGACGAGCGGCGGACGGGUGAGUAAUGUCUGGGAAACUGCCUGAUGGAGGGGGAUAACUACUGGAAACGGUAGCUAAUACCGCAUAACGUCGCAAGACCAAAGUGGGGGACCUUCGGGCCUCAUGCCAUCAGAUGUGCCCAGAUGGGAUUAGCUAGUAGGUGGGGUAAUGGCUCACCUAGGCGACGAUCCCUAGCUGGUCUGAGAGGAUGACCAGCCACACUGGAACUGAGACACGGUCCAGACUCCUACGGGAGGCAGCAGUGGGGAAUAUUGCACAAUGGGCGCAAGCCUGAUGCAGCCAUGCCGCGUGUGUGAAGAAGGCCUUCGGGUUGUAAAGCACUUUCAGCGGGGAGGAAGGCGAUAAGGUUAAUAACCUUGUCGAUUGACGUUACCCGCAGAAGAAGCACCGGCUAACUCCGUGCCAGCAGCCGCGGUAAUACGGAGGGUGCAAGCGUUAAUCGGAAUUACUGGGCGUAAAGCGCACGCAGGCGGUCUGUCAAGUCGGAUGUGAAAUCCCCGGGCUCAACCUGGGAACUGCAUUCGAAACUGGCAGGCUAGAGUCUUGUAGAGGGGGGUAGAAUUCCAGGUGUAGCGGUGAAAUGCGUAGAGAUCUGGAGGAAUACCGGUGGCGAAGGCGGCCCCCUGGACAAAGACUGACGCUCAGGUGCGAAAGCGUGGGGAGCAAACAGGAUUAGAUACCCUGGUAGUCCACGCCGUAAACGAUGUCGAUUUGGAGGUUGUGCCCUUGAGGCGUGGCUUCCGGAGCUAACGCGUUAAAUCGACCGCCUGGGGAGUACGGCCGCAAGGUUAAAACUCAAAUGAAUUGACGGGGGCCCGCACAAGCGGUGGAGCAUGUGGUUUAAUUCGAUGCAACGCGAAGAACCUUACCUGGUCUUGACAUCCACAGAACUUUCCAGAGAUGGAUUGGUGCCUUCGGGAACUGUGAGACAGGUGCUGCAUGGCUGUCGUCAGCUCGUGUUGUGAAAUGUUGGGUUAAGUCCCGCAACGAGCGCAACCCUUAUCCUUUGUUGCCAGCGGUUAGGCCGGGAACUCAAAGGAGACUGCCAGUGAUAAACUGGAGGAAGGUGGGGAUGACGUCAAGUCAUCAUGGCCCUUACGACCAGGGCUACACACGUGCUACAAUGGCAUAUACAAAGAGAAGCGACCUCGCGAGAGCAAGCGGACCUCAUAAAGUAUGUCGUAGUCCGGAUUGGAGUCUGCAACUCGACUCCAUGAAGUCGGAAUCGCUAGUAAUCGUAGAUCAGAAUGCUACGGUGAAUACGUUCCCGGGCCUUGUACACACCGCCCGUCACACCAUGGGAGUGGGUUGCAAAAGAAGUAGGUAGCUUAACCUUCGGGAGGGCGCUUACCACUUUGUGAUUCAUGACUGGGGUGAAGUCGUAACAAGGUAACCGUAGGGGAACCUGCGGUUGGAUCACCUCCUUACCUUAAAGAA